GAAUUCUUGUCCUCGUGGGGUUGAGAUUCUAGUGGAACAAGACAGAUAUUAAAACCAACAGGAGCCGGCGCCGUGGCUCGCGCCUGGAAUGUCAGUAGAGACGGGGUUUCACCGUGUUAACCAGGAUGGUCUUCAACUCCUGACCUCAAGUAAUCUGCCCGCCUCGGCCUCCCGAAGUGCUGGGAUUACAGGCGUGAGCCACCGCGCCCGGCAGAGAAUUUCUUAAAGACUUGAGAAGAGUCUUCUCAGUUUGCUGUUUGAUUUAUCCUUCUCAUCACAAGUCACGG